rnacentral:lncRNA from 1 species
AAUGUACUGGUUUUGAUUCAGCCUGUUUUUUCAGUCUCAACACUUACGUAUGCAUAUGUUCCUGUAUAAAUGUGUGUAUACACAGGGAAUUUCACAGCAUGAUGCUGGGGAAGUCCAAGAACAGAUCAGUAAAGCUGAGUAAGGUUGGAGAAUUGAAUCCUUCGAGGAAGAUCCUUGUAACUCUGCAAAGACACUGAUAUAAUUGGAUGGAAGAACGAGGCAGUUGAUUUGCAGGCUCUUUUCAGAAGCCCCAGGACAAGGGUGGGUGGAAAGUGCAAUUUGCAGAGAAGGAAAGGUGGAGGCACAUCCUGAAGCUUCAUGACACCAAUCACACCUCGCAGCCAAGCCCUCCUGCUGCUGGAGCCGCCUCCUCCUCUACCAACCUACUAAGCCUGCUGCAUUAGACCGCAGAAAGCUUCCUGGCCCAUAUUCCAACUCCUGCUACCUCCAGUUCACCUGCCAAGAGCUCCUGGUCCCAAUCGUGGUGACAAUCUUCAACCCACUGCACUUACCUGGCUCACAGCUUGGUCAAGGCAACCAAGCUCGGGUGCAAAAGGGUUCUUAAGGAAAGAACAAGUGCAAGAGAUGGAGCCUGAGAGAAACACCUAUGGGAAAGAAUAACAUCACCCGGUAGUGGGCAUCACCCACAGGGAACGGUUGUCAACCUGGGAGCAGGUCACAGUCGUGAAGGAAGGUUGGUUUAUUCAGCAUUCACUCAGAAAGGCUUCUCGUGGGUUAUG